ACCAAGUCACAAGAGUGUUAAAAUUUGUAAAAAAAAUGAUAGAAUGUCACGAUGAUAUAGAAACGACAAUAAUUUCCGUGAUUAUAAAGAGUUAUGCUAGUGUGACAGGGCCGUGACAGCUCGUAUCAAAACUCAAUAUAAAUUCAUUCAACCGACUCAUCAUUGUUCAAUACAGAAAAUUUGAAAGGCAACUGAAAGGUUAGGGACCCCACUCACUCCACAUAAUAAAUUUAAAAAAACAAAAUAUAUAUUCAUAUUAUAUUUUGUGUGUGUGUGUGUGUGUGAGAGAGAGAGAGAGAGAGAGAGAGAGAGAGAGAGAGAGUAAAGUCUAACCUUGCGAGUAAGAGAGAUGUCAGGCACAGAGAAAUCGGUGAGGCUGCACGUAUGUGGUGCAACCCAAGUGGGUGCAUCAACUGGCAGGCACUUGCAUCGUGGCAUUGACUUCCGAUCGUAAGAAACUGAGUCUAUUCGCAGAGAAGAAAUCAGUGGCGUCGGCGUUCCAGGCGUCGCUGGCGCCGACAUUGUCAGAGUUUCGACUUCGAAUUCCGGCAUUCCAGUGAGUAAAAACCAAAUCAAAGACCUUUUUUUUUUUUUUUUUUUUUUUAAAGAUUGAGUAAGAUAAUUCAACAAUGGAUAGAAAUUACAUGAUUUGCAGGCUUUUUUAACGUUUUUCCUACACAAUCUUCAGGACAGUAUCCAGAUCGAUAAAACCAAGUACAACAAUAAUCAAAAAAGCAUUGCGAAUAAAAUUUUUAUGAAAAUCCAACUAAUUUUUUUUGGGUUAUUUUUUGUUUUUUAGAUAGAAGAUGAAGAAAAGUGGUUGCAGUUACAUGCUUUGAAGGUUUUUAUAAAUUUGCAGCUACGGAAUAAUAAGAAAAUCUAAAGUAACCAGCAUAUAUCAAAAUUGAGAUCUAAAGAUUUGUAUAUACUGAAAUAAGAUUUUUAUUUGCAUAUAUGAAACAGAGAACAGAAGAAAAAACUAGAUGGAGCAUGGAGGAGGAUGAAAAAUGAAGUGAGAGAGAGAAAUAAUUAUAUAACAAUUUGAGAGGUGAUGGUGAUGAGAAAUGGAGUAGUAUAGCAGAAACAUCC
rnacentral:lncRNA from 1 species